AGAUUGAUGGCGAGUGGCGAACGGGUGAGUAAUACAUCGGAACGUGCCCUGUAGUGGGGGAUAACUAGUCGAAAGAUUAGCUAAUACCGCAUACGACCUGAGGGUGAAAGUGGGGGACCGCAAGGCCUCAUGCUAUAGGAGCGGCCGAUGUCUGAUUAGCUAGUUGGUGGGGUAAAGGCCCACCAAGGCGACGAUCAGUAGCUGGUCUGAGAGGACGAUCAGCCACACUGGGACUGAGACACGGCCCAGACUCCUACGGGAGGCAGCAGUGGGGAAUUUUGGACAAUGGGCGAAAGCCUGAUCCAGCAAUGCCGCGUGUGUGAAGAAGGCCUUCGGGUUGUAAAGCAUUUUUGUCCGGAAAGAGAUGGCUCUGGUUAAUACCUGGGGUCGAUGACGGUACCGGAAGAAUAAGGACCGGCUAACUACGUGCCAGCAGCCGCGGUAAUACGUAGGGUCCAAGCGUUAAUCGGAAUUACUGGGCGUAAAGCGUGCGCAGGCGGUUGUGCAAGACCGAUGUGAAAUCCCCGAGCUUAACUUGGGAAUUGCAUUGGUGACUGCACGGCUAGAGUGUGUCAGAGGGGGGUAGAAUUCCACGUGUAGCAGUGAAAUGCGUAGAGAUGUGGAGGAAUACCGAUGGCGAAGGCAGCCCCCUGGGAUAACACUGACGCUCAUGCACGAAAGCGUGGGGAGCAAACAGGAUUAGAUACCCUGGUAGUCCACGCCCUAAACGAUGUCAACUAGUUGUUGGGGAUUCAUUUCCUUAGUAACGUAGCUAACGCGUGAAGUUGACCGCCUGGGGAGUACGGUCGCAAGAUUAAAACUCAAAGGAAUUGACGGAAGGGCGAA
rnacentral:rRNA from 1 species